AUUGAACGCUGGCGGCAGGCCUAACACAUGCAAGUCGGACAGUAGCACAGAGGAGCUUGCUCCUCGGGUGACGAGUGGCGGACGGGUGAGUAAUGUCUGGGGAUCUGCCCGAUAGAGAGGGAUAACCACUGGAAACGGUGGCUAAUACCGCAUAACGUCGCAAGACCAAAGAGGGGGACCUUCGGGCCUCUCACUAUCGGAUGAACCCAGAGGGGAUUAGCUAGUAGGCGGGGUAAUGGCCCACCUAGGCGACGAUCCCUAGCUGGUCUGAGAGGAUGACCAGCCACACUGGAACUGAGACACGGUCCAGACUCCUACGGGAGGCAGCAGUGGGGAAUAUUGCACAAUGGGCGCAAGCCUGAUGCAGCCAUGCCGCGUGUAUGAAGAAGGCCUUCGGGUUGUAAAGUACUUUCAGCGGGGAGGAAGGCGAUGUGGUUAAUAACCUUGUCGAUUGACGUUACCCGCAGAAGAAGCACCGGCUAACUCCGUGCCAGCAGCCGCAGUAA
rnacentral:rRNA from 1 species